UGCAGCCUCAAGGGGCAGCUGGUCAGCCCUGUUCUCUUGAGUACACAGUUUCCAGUGAACAGAGAAACUGUAUAAAAUCCUUAACUCCACCCUCACUCUGUAGCAGCAACACAAAGCUUUUACUUUUUGCCUAUUUUUGUCUGAAGUUCCAUGCUGAUAGAAUUAGGCCUUGAGAGACAUAGUCAAUGAAGAGAUGAAACCCACUUGUUCACACUCUUGUUGUGAAUCCACACUGAAUUUUUCUUUUGUACCAGAAAUCAAACUCGGGACCUUGCACUUGCCAGAUUUGACAUUUCCAUCAUCAAUACUGCCCCCUGGUGAACCAAGCUGGAACUCACAAUCAGGAGGCCUGUGGUCCGGAAAGCAUUG